rnacentral:sRNA from 1 species
GAUGAUAAGCGCAUGUUUCUU